GCGCAGUAGGCCAACACACGUGUUCUUCGCGGCAUUAUGCUUGAUACUGGCGACAGCUGUGGACCAGCCUUUCAAGACAUAACCUUUUCCAACAAUACGUUCUACCAUUGGCGAAAUAAGUGCACGCAAUAAUUACAGUAAAGGCAAAGAAAAAAGAACUGUAUAAGAUCAUAAUGGAGUUACGAAGUAGUGGCAUUGACGGCAUAAAAGAAUCCAGAAAAAGAAAAGUAUCGAGGACAAUGACAGCAGCCACGAUUGCUGGCGCAACAAGGAUAGUUUGCAUCUAAAUUCAACGAUCGCAACGAGGAGGAACGUUGGUCAGAAGAAGAGAGGCGAACCUUACGCAAUCAAUUUCCAGGUGAAAGGUUCCAACGUGUGCAUGGGAAUUUACUUACAAAGGCCGUCAUUUUACUGUAACAUUUUCUCAAUUUCUUUAUUUAA